UCUGGGGUCCAGGGCAAUGGCGGGAUGGGGGCCGGGCAAGGAAGAGGAGGACACAGGACGUGUAUCCGACACACAAGGACAGGACAACACAAAACACACACAGAGACAAGACAGAGACGGAAUGAAGAAAUGCCAUGGGGUGAUGAAGGGGCGGGGUGGGUGGGGGUGGCACCAGAGGGGCCCCUGCAGUCCCUCCCACACCCCCACGUGGUCUGGUGCAGGAAGAAAGCUGAAGGGGUAACCUCCCAUGGGUCAGGCUGUUGCCCCUGGGCUGGCCAGUCCCCCUAAAAAGCACCCUCCCCGUCUCUCUCCUGUUUUCCAGCCUGGGGGCAGGUCUCUGCCCUGUGGGCGGGAGGGGAAGGAGCACAGAGCCCAUGCCACCCCAUCAACAGUCCUGGAGAGCUGCAAAUUACAGGAUGCUGGGCACAGGGCCCGGCCUGGACUUCCUCCCUUGCUGCCCGCUGGGGCUGUUAACCCUAAACCCAUGCUCUGUCCCCCAGAAGCCAAGGAUAGAGCACAGGGAGAGUCAGAAAGGACUGGGCCUGAAGUCCAGGAGCAGUGGUGGCAAAUGGGAAUUCCCACGUGGCCUGGUGAAUGUAACAUGUGCCCUGAAUACACCCAAGCUUCGCGUGCCAAGCCCAGCACCCUGAUCCUGGUCACAGCCGCCUCCUCCCUCAAACAGAGUCAAGGCCUCCAGGAAUACCUCCUCAUCUCCCAUUCAGCUCAGAGCACACAAGUUUCCUCACUGCUCCUCAAACGUACCAGGCAAAGGCCCACCUCAGGACCUUUGCACUGGCUGUUUGCUCUUCCUAGAACAUCUUCCCCCAAGUAUGCCCUCAGCUCCUUCCCUCCUCUCCUCUUCCAGGCCUUUGCCCAAACUCAGCUUCUCAGAGGGAAGCUUCUGCUGACCACCCAGAGUCUAAAAUGCCAGCCCCUAACACCCCCAUUCCCUUUCUCUGCCUUCUCUUUCUCUGGAGCCCUAGAAACCAGCUGCCCUGAUGCACCUGUCAGCUGACUGUCACCUGCCCCUCCUGUGACAUCCAUGAGGACAACUUUUGUAUUUGCCUGCUGUUCUGCUCUUGCUACAUCUCAGUACCUAGCACCGUGUCAGGCCAGUGGCAAUGUGGGCCCAGGGCUGCCACACAUCCUCAAGCCACAACUGCCUGCCUCCACUGUGCAUGAAACCCACCUCCAGCCCACAGGGCCCCCAGGGGCCGGCCCUUGUCUCUCCCUCCCACGCCCCGCCUCCUGGGGGCCUGGCUACCUCCUUGCCUGGGCACCCUGUGAAGCAAGGUAGACAGACACCUGCUCAUGCCCUAGCCCCAAGAAGACUGGGGGCUGCGGGAGGGCCUGGGAAGACCCAGCCAAGGGGCGAUUCCCAGCAGGGGCAGCAAACACGUACCCACACAGGCCCCAAGACUCUGCUAGUCCCCAUUGCCCCUUGUGUGGCCCUUCCUGGCAGGCAUGGGCCCAAACAGGACUCACGGCUGGCGGACCAAGCAGGGGCUAGAUUUUUGGGGGUCCCCUAGGGAAGCCACAGGCAUCAUGGAGGAGCCCCAGGGCCAGCUGGGGGACGGAAGCGAAGCAGGUGGGGUGGGGCCAGCAGGGACAGAGGAGCCAGCACCCCGGCCCACGGAGGCAGCUGCCACCCCCUCAGCCCCUGCGAUUAGUCAGCAGAAGCCAGAAAUACAGCCUUGGAUGUGAAGUCUCUGCUGCUUUAAGCAGCAGGACAGAGUUCAAAGUCUUCAAAAGGCCUGCAGGAGAGGCACCGAGACCUCAGCGGGGACGCGGGAUGGAGCCCAUCCCGGGCUGCUCUGAGGACUGACUGGGUAACAGGAGCAGAGCAGGGCACGAAGCGCGGGCCCUGCUCCACCACGGUGACUCCAGAGUGCUCCUAACGGCGUCUAGGGGAGGGGGACCCCCCAUCCCACGCCCAGGCCCUGGAGUCCCACAGACCU